GUCUAGGGCCAUACCACCCUGAACACGCCCGAUCUUGUCUGAUCUCGGAAGCUAAGCAGGGUCAGGCCUGGUUAGUACUUGGGUGGGAAACCUGGGAAUACCGGGUGCUGUAGGCU
ensembl:rRNA LOC120093896 5S ribosomal RNA